GUAAUAACCCUCGUGCCGGCGGUUUUAAGUUCCCAGCGAAGCGUGUUUUGCCCCCCCCCCCAAAGCACGGGUGCGGCCUCACGCCGGGCAGAGCCCGUGGCACAGCGCGUUGCCGCGUUCGCCCCGCGAGCAGAGAGCGCUCUCGGAAUCCCAGCACAAAACCGCGGAUUGAAGCCCUUCAGAGAGCCGGAGACCGACCGUGUUACGCAAGAGGCUCAAACACGGAGUUGUGUCCUUUGCCGUCGUUCCUUUGUAUUUAAUCCUCGGGACAACGUUUGCAUAAAAUGCUGAGACAACGGGACCGACUGAGAGGUGGACAAGACGGGCACAGCCGGACAUUGCUGACCACGACAGGCGUCUAACACUAGGUAAAGCAGCAUCGGAUGUCUCGGAGCAGAAAUAGCAGUUCUGGUACAGAGAUACUGGAGGCAAGCACAAACCAGCUAAAGUACUUUGUAUGCCACUCGUCAGGACGGCAUUAAAUGCAACUGAUGUGACAGUGGAACGCAUGUCAGGCUGACGGGCUGGCCUGUCUGUGCCAUCUCCCAGCAAUCAUUCCACAAAACCAAAGCCAGCUGCCCAGCCACCUGGACAAAACUACAUUACAGAUUACGUCAUUUAUAAGUUGCAUUGAUUUCUAGCAGGGUAGACAUUAAAAAGAGGCAUUUUAGUCCUUGCUAUGGCUUACUACUGUGGAUUCACCUGUGACAGUGGAAACUUGAAAGUUACAUACUGAAUUAAAUUACAUACUGAAUUAAAUUAAACAAAUCACAGUUAUUUUGUCAUCUCUGGAGUAGAGUACUGUGGGAAGGCCUCUACUUUUCAUUAAGGAAGAUGCUUCCUCAUUUUCUGCAGAAAAGGUCACUCUAUAAAGUGCACCAUGAAUUCUGUAGGUGUUGUGUCCCAGCUGUUUACUCGGCUCACAUCUGAAGCUUUCCUCCCCCUCAGACUGCCAGUGACCAAGCCUACCUUGGGACUUGAAAGUGAAGCUGUGGGGUUUUUUUUCCUCCUUUGUGCGUCAGUGUUAAUAAUAAAACUUAACAUCUGGAAUUCAGCAAUUCUUGGAGUGACCUCUGAGCGAGCAGCGAAUCUAAAGCAGCAUCCUACAGGUAGCUGGCACUGGCUCCAGUGCACUAAGAAGAUAAAAGCAGUACAGCACGAUUUGAUCAGCAGAGGAAACAGUUUGUUAUCCAGGACAUCCAUCGGGACACUGUCACCUCUCUUACAAGACCAGAUCUUCCUUGGAUCUCCCUGGAGUUUGUCAGUACAACCAAGAGAGUGAAGGCUGAUCACCCUAACCACCUGACCAUGGAGGAAGAAGACUGACCUAGGGACAUGGUCAGACAAGACAUGGAGAAUGGCUGUGGAGAGCUUAAAAAGCUUUGUCUUCUGAGCAGCUCGUUCUUUACUUUGGCAGAAGUUACUGAUUGUCCUUAGAAGGUUUGGCGGAACAGAACAUGGAGGGUUUCCUGCUCUGCUUUGGGGCUCUUGGGGUUUAGAGUUUUCCUUUAGUUUCUCUAUCUGAUGCAAGUUUGACCCAUCUGUCGCUAAGAAGCUGUAAUCGGCAAUACUUAGGAGAGACAAGAGAAGUUUCCAUGGGAAGGGUGUAGCUGGCCACUCCUAACUGGGGGAUUUCUCUUGGAGGGCCAGAGAUACCUGAGAACUGGGCUGGGGGAAAAGGGCCUGGCACAGCUCUCUUGCUCUCUUGGUUUUGGAAGAGGACGGUCGAGCUGCUUUCCUUGGGGAGGGAAUUCACUGUUGCUGCCAGAACCCAGCCCUGCCCUGUUUUCUCCUACCUCAGCUGAGCGUUUGCUCACAAGAGCAGCCAUUGAACCGGGACCAUACUGGCACCCUGCCUCACUGGAAAGGACCCUUGCAACCUGUUCGGUUGCGUCAGGGGAAAUGACCGUGACUCCUUCCCGGAGGAUGCUGGGUGUCCCCGGCUGCGUGUGGAGGAGCCCGGCUGCCGCUGCCCAGCCCCGCUGCUUUCUGCCGCUGCCUUGGGCUUUUUUUCCUGUGCUCUAACCCAAAGCCCUGCCUGCUGGGACACCCCAUAGCCCCUGCUGCAACCUGCGCCCUGCAGGAGGGGAGGAAUCGCUGCCCUGCCCGGCCAGGAGCCCCCAGCGCCCCUGCUGGCCGUGAGCGGAACUGCACCAGGGGAAGGUGCCCGCGGCCAGGAGAGCCUGGGCCUGGGUUUGUGAUUCUGUUUGGUGGUGUUGCUGCUGCUGCUGGU